rnacentral:rRNA from 1 species
UACGUAGGGGGCAAGCGUUGUCCGGAAUUAUUGGGCGUAAAGAGCGCGUAGGCGGUCCGAUAAGUCGGCUGUGAAAGUCCAGGGCUCAACCCUGGAAAGCCGGCCGAUACUGUCGGACUAGAGUCCGGAAGAGGCAAGUGGAAUUCCCGGUGUAGCGGUGAAAUGCGCAGAUAUCAGGAGGAACACCGGUGGCGAAGGCGGGUCUCUGGGCAGUAACUGACGCUGAGGAGCGAAAGCGUGGGGAGCGAACAGG